GAAGCUGAGAAUUUAAGCCCCAGUAAACGGCGGUGGUAACUAUAACCAUCCUAAGGUAGCGAAAUUCCUUGUCGGGUAAGUUCCGACCUGCACGAAUGGAGUAACGACUUCCCUACUGUCUCAACCAUGAACUCGGCGAAAUUGCAGUACGAGUAAAGAUGCUCGUUUCGCGCAGCAGGACGGAAAGACCCCGUGACCUUUACUAUAGUUUGGUAUUGGUGUUUGGUUUGGCUUGUGUAGGAUAGGUGGGAGACUGUGAAGCAUGGACGCUAGUUUGUGUGGAGUCGUUGUUGAAAUACCACUCUGGUCAAUCUGGAUGUCUAACUUCGGGCCAUGAUCUGGUUCAGGGACAGUGCCUGAUGGGUAGUUUAACUGGGGCGGUUGCCUCCUAAAGUGUAACGGAGGCGCCCAAAGGUUCCCUCAGCCUGGUUGGCAAUCAGGUGUUGAGUGUAAGUGCACAAGGGAGCUUGACUGUGAGACUGGCAGGUCGAGCAGGGACGAAAGUCGGGACUAGUGAUCCGGCGGUACGUUGUGGAACGGCCGUCGCUCAACGGAUAAAAGGUACCUCGGGGAUAACAGGCUGAUCUUGCCCAAGAGUCCAUAUCGACGGCAUGGUUUGGCACCUCGAUGUCGGCUCGUCGCAUCCUGGGGCUGGAGUCGGUCCCAAGGGUUGGGCUGUUCGCCCAUUAAAGCGGUACGCGAGCUGGGUUCAGAACGUCGUGAGACAGUUCGGUCCCUAUCCGCUGCGCGCGUUGGAAAUUUGAGAAAGGCUGUCCUUAGUACGAGAGGACCGGGACGGACGAACCUCUGGUAUGUCAGUUGUACCGCCAGGUGCAUGGCUGAUUGGCUACGUUCGGGAGGGAUAACCGCUGAAAGCAUCUAAGCGGGAAGCCUGUUUCGAGAUGAGAUUUCCUGGCACUUUUUGGUGUGUGAGGCUCCUUAUAGAUGAUGAGGUUGAUAGGCCGGGUAUGGAAGCGAGGACUGAAGACUCGUGGAGUUGACUGGUACUAAUAGGCUGAAGGCUUACUUUU
rnacentral:rRNA from 1 species